rnacentral:rRNA from 1 species
GAUGAACGCUGGCGGCGUGCUUAACACAUGCAAGUCGAACGGAAAGGCCCAAGCUUGCUUGGGUACUCGAGUGGCGAACGGGUGAGAAACACGUGGGUGAUCUGCCCUGCACUUCGGGAUAAGCCUGGGAAACUGGGUCUAAUACCGGAUAGGACCACUUCUUGGAUGUUGUGGUGGAAAGUUUUUUCGGUGUGGGAUGAGCUCGCGGCCUAUCAGCUUGUUGGUGGGGUAAUGGCCUACCAAGGCGUCGACGGGUAGCCGGCCUGAGAGGGUGUACGGCCACAUUGGGGCUGGGAUACGGCCCAGACUCCUACGGGAGGCAGCAGUGGGGAAUAUUGCACAAUGGGCGCAAGCCUGAUGCAGCGACGCCGCGUGGGGGAGGACGGCCUUCGGGUUGUAAACUCCUUUCGCUAGGGACGAAGCGUUUUGUGACGGUACCUGGAGAAGAAGCACCGGCUAACUACGUG